rnacentral:rRNA from 1 species
UACGAAGGGGGCUAGCGUUGCUCGGAUUGACUAGGCGUAAAGGGCGCGUAGGCGGUUCGUACAGUCAGACGUGAAAUUCCUGGGCUCAACCUGGGGGCUGCGUUUGAUACGUGCGGACUUGAGUGCGGAAGAGGGUCGUGGAAUUCCCAGUGUAGAGGUGAAAUUCGUAGAUAUCAGGAGGAACACCAAUGGCGAAGGCAGCACUCUGGGACGGUACUGACGCUGAGACGCGAAAGCGUGGGGAGCAAACAGG